rnacentral:lncRNA from 1 species
CGAUGAUAUUUGAAGUAAUUUUUCGGCAUUCUUCUUUCUUUUUUUAUCUGAUUUGACUUAUCUUCUGUUUUCAGUGGGCAUACAAUAUGCACACUUUAGUGAGUGGGUAUUGAAAGGUCGCCAACUUUUAUCGAUCUUGGAUGGAUAAGGUGGCGGCUGUCACCGCUAAGAAGAAUGCUGCCGUCGAAGAACUUUAGACGGCAAUUGAAUGGAAGAAGAAGCUUCAAGAAGAAGUCUCCCGUAUGACAGUCGAUCUUCAGUUCUCCAGAGCCGAGCUUGAGUCGGCUCAUCAAAACAUC